GAUGAACGCUAGCUACAGGCUUAACACAUGCAAGUCGAGGGGCAGCAUGAACAAAGCUUGCUUUGUUUGAUGGCGACCGGCGCACGGGUGCGUAACACGUAUCCAAUCUGCCCGCGGCUCGGGGAUAGCCCAUCGAAAGAUGGAUUAAUACCCGAUGGCGUGGUCACUCCGCAUGGAGUUUCCACUAAAGGUUUUCCGGCCGCGGAUGAGGAUGCGUAUGAUUAGGUAGUAGGCGGGGUAACGGCCCACCUAGCCUUCGAUCAUUAGGGGUUCUGAGAGGAAGGUCCCCCACACUGGAACUGAGACACGGUCCAGACUCCUACGGGAGGCAGCAGUGAGGAAUAUUGGUCAAUGGGCAGAGCCUGAACCAGCCAAGUAGCGUGAAGGAAGACUGCCCUAUGGGUCUUAAAACUUCUUUUGAAGGGAGCAAUAAGUCUCACGUGUGGGAUGAUGAGAGUACCUU
rnacentral:rRNA from 1 species